rnacentral:rRNA from 1 species
UGGGGAAUAUUGGGCAAUGGGGGAAACCCUGACCCAGCAACGCCGCGUGAAGGAAGAAGGCUUUCGGGUUGUAAACUUCUUUUAUUCGGGAAGAUAAUGACGGUACCGAAUGAAUAAGCUCCGGCUAACUACGUGCCAGCAGCCGCGGUAAUACGUAGGGAGCGAGCGUUGUCCGGAUUUACUGGGUGUAAAGGGCGCGUAGGCGGGACUGUAAGUAUGGCGUGAAAUCUAGUGGCUCAACCACUAAACUGCGUUAUAAACUAUAGUUCUUGAGUGAUGGAGAGGCAGGCGGAAUUCCGUGUGUAGCGGUGAAAUGCGUAGAUAUACGGAGGAACACCAGUGGCGAAGGCGGUCUGCUGGACAUCAACUGACGCUGAGGCGCGAAAGCGUGGGGAGCAAACAGGAUUAGAUACCCCCGUAGUCC